rnacentral:pre_miRNA from 1 species
AAUGCGUUUCGGCUUGUGGCCUUCAUUGGACCCUGAUGAAGGCCACAAGCCAAAACGCGUUGG